CUGGUUCCUGAGUCAAUUCCAUCCAGGUAGGAGGAAUCCUAUCAGAAAGUAUGUGAGUGCGUUUGCAGAGUGCAUUCCUGUGGAGCCCCCUUAUCUCUGGCUGCAUCUGCUUCUGCAGGGAGAAAGUAUCCCUGCUGUGAGAGGUCUGGGAUCUGGAGUACAGAGGAUGGUGAAGCCAAGGCCUGAAGACCUUUCCUGCAAGGUCGCAGAGGAAGAGGCAGAAGAAGGACCAGAACCCAGCUCCCCUGACUCCCUAUCCAGUGCUCUUCUCAUAGAUUACAUUGCUUCAGCAUCCACCUGGCUAUUGCUCCAUCCAGGGGUUACAGGAGUCACUGACUGUUUUGGUUGCUUCUUGGUUGGAGGAUGUUGUGCCUCACCGAUGAGAGCCGGAAGCAAAGGUACCAGUUCUUAGAGGAAGCAUAGGAAUGUGUCCCUUCCUGCUCGGGUCUCUCAACUGAACUCAACCCUUCCUUGAUUGAUUGACAAGCAUGUUAUCUCUCAUAAUCCCUGCCCGGUAAGGGCUGAUGUCCCCAUUUUACAGAUGAGGAUAUUGGAGCUCAGAGAAGUGAAAUGAUUGCUGAAGGUCACACAGCCUGGCUUCAAGCCUCUCGGGCUCCAAAAGGCAUCUUCUGUUCUCUCCGUCAGGAAGCCUCUUUUGGAUGAUUAACUGAGAUUAAAAAUGAAAAGACACAUGAAAGAAA
rnacentral:lncRNA from 10 species